rnacentral:lncRNA from 1 species
CUGUACUGUCAACAGACACGCUCUCAGAUUACUGUACUGUCAACAAGACACGCUCUCAGAUUACUGUACUGUCAGCAAGACGCUCUCAGUACUGUAACUGUCAGCAAGACACGCUGUCAGAUUACUGUACUGUCAACAAGACAUACUCUCAGAUUACGUACUGUCAACAAGACACACUCUCAGAUUACUGUACUGUCAGCAAGACACACCUCUCAGAUUACUGUACUGUCAGCAAGACACGCUCUCAGAUUACUGUCAGCAAGACGCGCUCUCAGAUUACUGUCAGCAAGACGCGCUCUCAGAUUACUGUACUGUCAGCAAGACGCGCUCUCAGAUUACUGUACUGUCAGCAAGACGCGCUCCAGAUUACUGUACUGUCAGCAAGACACACUCUCAGAUUACUGUACUGUCAGCAAGACACGCUCUCAGAUUACUGUACUGUCAACAACACGCUCUCAGAUUACUGUACUGUCAGCAAGACACGCUCUCAGAUUACUGUACUGUCAACAAGACGCGCUCCUCAGAUUACUGUCAGCGCAAGACAUACCUCAGAUUACUGUACUGUCAACAAGACACACUCUCAGAUUACUGUACUGUCACAAGACACGCUCUCGAAUUACUGUACUGUCAGCAAGACACCUCUCAGAUUACUGUACUGUCAGCAGAUGUAGCUCCAGAUUACUGUACUGUCAACACCCUCUCAGAUUACUGUACUGUCAACAAGACACGCUCUCAAUUACUGACUGUCAGCAAGACACACUCUCAGAUUACUGUACUGUCAGCAAGAUGUACUCUCAGAUUACUGUACUGUCAACAAGACAUGCUCUCAGAUUACUGUACUGUCAGCAGACACGCUCUCAGAUUACUGUACUGUCAACAAGACAGCUCUCAAGUUACUGUACUGUCAGCAAAGACGCUCCAGAUUACUGUCAACAAGACACGCUCUCAGAUUACUGUACUGUCAACAAGACACGCUCUCAGAUUACUGUACUGUCAGCAAGACACGCUCUCAGAUUACUCUGUACUGUCAGCAAGACACACUCUCUCAGAUUACUGUACUGUCAACACGCUCUCAGAUUACUAUACGGUACUGAACUGUCAACAAGACACGCCUCAGAUUACUGUACUGUCACGACGCAGAGCAGCGUCUCUCAGAUUACUGUACUGUCAGCAAGACAUUCUCAGAUUACUGUACUGUCAACAAGACACGCUCUCAGAUUACGGUACUGUCACAGACCCGCUCUCAGAUUACUGUACUGUCAGCA